CCUAGCCACGUCCUCAGCGCAUGCGCAGACCAGCUGGCUGGUGUGUUUACGGAAAUAAUCAAUCAAUCCCUAUCCAAGUCUGCUGUUCCCACAUUCUUCAAGAGGGCCACCAUUGUUCCUGUUCCCAAGAAAGCUAAGUGACGCACUCAAUCACCAUGAUGAAGGCUUUACCAGAUAUGUUCCCAUCACCUGUGGCUCCACCAAAGAAGUUAGGACAUUGUCACAACUCCCACCGAAGGUGGCAACCCUGCCUGUUCGGGUGGCGCUCGGCGGUCGUCGUCGCUGGUCUACUAGCUGCCACCGAUCCCAUUUUCCUUUUCUGUUUGUUUGGUCUUAUUGGUUGCAGUUGUCUCUUUUAUUUUGUUUUUUGAUUCAGUCUAUUUAAGCCUGUUAGGCCUGCCUGUUUUUGUGCGGGCUUGUUUUUCUGUUUGUCAGGUUGUGCGUGGUGUGUUCCUGUCUGUUUGUGCCCUGUGUUGCGUUGGACCAUUUUGUGUCGAUUUUCACCUGUUGUUUUGGGCGUUCGCUUUGGAAACCUAAUAAAGUCGGUUUCCCCAGUAUCAUCUGCUCUCUGCAUUUGACUCCGUACCCACCACUCCAGGCCUGGUGACAGACAUGCAAGGGAGGCUAUGCUUCACAUUCUUGAAUCUGCAGAAGACCCCAACACCUUUCUUCAGGCGAGACCACUCUUCAGCCCUGUCGUGAUUGUCUGCGAAACAAACUGCGUACUGGCCAUUGAAACCAUGCCUGUGGUGACCUUCCCAAAAGAGGACAUCUAUGCCAGAGUGACGUAUCUCAUGGCAUGUUAUUACGCCUUUCACCUCACAUAUCCCAAGUGUAUGGCGACACUCCUCUCAAUGCAGCAGACAUAAGUCCUCUCGGACGCCAUUCACGACCGGGACAAGACUUCUUCAUAUAAAAAGACUAUGGCCAAGUGGAAAAAGUUCAUUACUGACUACGGUUGCAACAUUUCUUCAUUUCCGGUCCCGAUAACAGAACUGUGUGUAUUGGCCCACACGAGAACCGAUCCGAUAACCUUUAAUAAAUAGGCAGGGCAUUUGUUGUUUAUUAUAAGAAGGUUUAAAGCACUGUUAUGUUUGUUAUCUUCCCAUUGGUCUUACAUUUUUACCUUGACCACCAAUAGCCUUUGUUGUUGUUUUUGCACACUUUGUUCUGCCCAUAUCAGCCUCUU
ensembl:lncRNA